rnacentral:lncRNA from 1 species
GCUGUUUUGCUUUCUCUUAUUUGGAAGAAGGGACAAAUAAUAAUUGAGUACAGAUAUGCACCGAUCAAAGAAUAUGUAUUUUACUAGGAAAUAUGUUACAUGUAUCAAUUAAAAGUGUCAUGUUGACCUGAAAUGUUAAUUCGGCCGGCACAAUCCGGCAUUUUCACACGAUAAAUACAAUAUUAAAUAAUUUCCUUGUAUCUCUUGUAUACAACCCAUAAUAAUUGAUUUAUAUUUCAUGUUUUAAGUGUUUUGACUUUGAAAUUUCUAUAAACGUAUGCCGUAUA